rnacentral:rRNA from 1 species
GACGAACGCUGGCGGCGUGCUUAACACAUGCAAGUCGUACGGUAAGGCCCUUUCGGGGGUACACGAGUGGCGCACGGGUGAGUAACACGUGAGUAACCUGCCCACAACUUUGGGAUAACGCUAGGAAACUGGUGCUAAUACUGGAUAUGUGCUCCUGCUGCAUGGUGGGGGUUGGAAAGCUCCGGCGGUUGUGGAUGGACUCGCGGCCUAUCAGCUUGUUGGUGGGGUAGUGGCCUACCAAGGCGGCGACGGGUAGCCGGCCUGAGAGGGUGACCGGCCACAUUGGGACUGAGAUACGGCCCAGACGCCUACGGGAGGCAGCAGUGGGGAAUAUUGCACAAGGGGCGCAAGCCUGAUGCAGCAACGCCGCGUGCGGGAGGACGGCCUUCGGGUUGGAAACCGCUUUCAGCAGGGACGAAGCUUUUUGUGACGGUACCUGCAGAAGAAGCACCGGCUAACUACGUG